GCAUGGGUUUGGAUUUAUGGCAGACCGUACCCCUGGGUCUCUUACAGUGCCCCAUGCCAGAACAAACUGUGGCCUCCAACCAUUGCCUGGCUUCUGCCCAUAGGCUGCAGGCAUACACUUGGCUACACAGUG